rnacentral:rRNA from 1 species
ACGCGAGCUGGGUUCAGAACGUCGUGAGACAGUUCGGUCCCUAUCCGUCGCAGGCGUAGGAAAUUUGAGAAGACCUGUCCUUAGUACGAGAGGACCGGGAUGGACGUACCUCUGGUGUACCAGUUGUCCUGCCAAGGGCAUGGCUGGGUAGCUAUGUGCGGAAUGGAUAAGCGCUGAAAGCAUCUAAGCGCGAAGCCAACUUCAAGAUAAGAUUUCCCACCGCAAGGGUAAGACCCCAGAAAGACUAUCUGGUUGAUAGGUCGAAGGUGUAAGUGCAGCAAUGUAUUUAGCUUAUCGAUACUAAUAGGUCGAGGACUUGACCAAU